rnacentral:rRNA from 1 species
AGGGAUCAUUACCGAGUAUCUUACUCCAAACCCCUGUGAACUUACCAUUGUUGUUGCUUCGGCGGGCCGCGCCUCGCGAUGCCGCCCUCCCCUCCGGGGGCGGGGCUGCGUCCGGGGCGCGCUACGGCCCGCCGGGGGUCCCAAACUCUCUAUUAUAACGGAUCUUCUGAGGUAGAAAUACAAAUAAAUCAAAACUUUUAACAACGGAUCUCUUGGUUCUGGCAUCGAUGAAGAACGCAGCGAAAUGCGAUAAGUAAUGUGAAUUGCAGAAUUCAGUGAAUCAUCGAAUCUUUGAACGCACAUUGCGCCUAUUAGUAUUCUAGUAGGCAUGCCUGUUCGAGCGUCAUUUCAACCCUCAAGCCCUACCGCUUGGUGUUGGGAGCCUACCGCCUGGCGGUAGCUCCCCAAAUGCAGUGGCAGCGUCAGGGCACCUCUGAGCGUAGUAAAUCUAUUAUCUCGCUUUGGCCAGGUGUCCCGGCGGUAGCCAUCAAGCCUAUUAUCUAUUGAAUAGUUGACCUCGGAUCAGGUAGGAAUACCCGCUGAACUUA